rnacentral:rRNA from 1 species
GACAGAGGGGGCAAGCGUUGCUCGGAAUCACUGGGCGUAAAGGGCUCGUAGGCGGUUUGUCGCGUCGGGAGUGAAAUCAUCUGGCUUAACUGGGUGCUUGCUUUCGAUACGGGCAGACUAGAGGUAUGCAGGGGAGAACGGAAUUCCUGGUGUAGCGGUGAAAUGCGCAGAUAUCAGGAGGAACACCGGUGGCGAAGGCGGUUCUCUGGGCAUGACCUGACGCUGAGGCACGAAGGCCAGGGGAGCAAACGGG